GGUUAAUACCUCUCUCCUUUUACCUUUUAGUUCAUUAUUUAUUUAUUUUUCUGUUGUUAUUAUUCAUUAUUCAAGCUUGAGAGAUAUUUGUUUUUUGACUUUGAAAGAGUAGAUUUUAGAGAGAUUAGUGAGAGAGAGGCUUGAGACAUUAAGAAUUUUUUUGUUUCCUCUGUUGUGUAUGUUACUGUUUCUUUUUUCUCUCUCUCUCUGCUUGUUGUUUAUCUUCUAC
rnacentral:lncRNA from 1 species